UAUCUGGGUCAGCAGCUCGGCAGGUGCUUCCCCGAGCAGCGCGCAGUCCGCAGCCGGGAAAAGUGGCCCAAGUUCCGCUCUCCUCCAUCUCAAGGAUGGGCACAGAGGGGGAAGCCUAACUAAAAACAGGAAACUAAAAAAUAUUUUAAAGCCUCAUUCAGGCUGAAUUACGGAGCGAGCGAGCGAGCGAGCGAGCGAAUAAAGUCCUGAGCCCACAGAGCGCCACAUUCACCCGGCACAGCACUGCACCCGGGAGGACGCUAGAGGGGUGACCGCGGGCCAGGUGGGUGCCCAAGGAGGGUGGAGGUGCCAACGCAGGCAGCGGGGCAGGGAGGUGGAGAGGGCUGCAGGGAGAUGGCCUGAGCGCAGAGUCCCUUAGAACGGGUUCAGAGCCAGGCGUGGUGGCGCAUGUCUGUAAUCCCAGCACUUGGGAGGCUGAGGCAAGAGUAUCCCGAGACUAGCCUGGGCUACAUAGCAAGACCGUCUCAAAUAAAUAAAUAAAUAAAUAAAUAGGUAGGUAGAUAGAUCGAUAGAUAGAAAGAAAAGGCACAGGGUGAGGGGCCAGACUCAGGGUUACUGUAGUGGUCUCACCUCCUUCUAUGACAAGGUGGGCAUAAGGCAGGCAGUUGCUGUCAAAUGAUAGCUUCAACGGUGGAGUCUCUUUAAUCUUGCCAGGGAGGUAAAGCACCCGUUGUUGUUGCUGUUAUCCUAUUCAUUCUGCAGUGCUGGGGAUCGAACCCAGGCCCUUGCGCAUGCUAAGCACAAGCCCUAACGCUGCUAUUGUUGCCUUGGAACGAUGAGGGUCUGGGGCUGGAAUGCAAGGGGCUCCUUAUCCCGGGCGAGCAUGUGCCGCGUGGCUUCAGAGGCUGUGCUCCUCCGGGCCAGAAGAGAGUACAGGGUUGGGCAAUACUGGGCAGGUGGCUGCCCUGUCCCAGCACUCCCGGCCGGGCUGCAGGCUUGGACUCUCACUGGGGACUUGCAGGGCGGGGGGCCCUAAGAGGAGCCGCAGGUCCCUUCGGGGGGAACUUUGGGUUCAGCCUAACGCCCUUCUCGUUGGGGCUUCUGGGGCUCACAGCCUCCUCCAACCCCAGGCUCUGCUGCCUGGGCCUCAGCAGAGAUCUCAGGCCAUGCAGGGAGAUCCCAGCCACAGACAUUUCAGAGACAAAACAUGAUGACCGAGAUUCCCUAGUACUUGUCCGUAGCCCUGCUUUGGCUGGGUUGCAACUUUUUAUCUAUGUAUUUAUUUACUAAUUAGACAAGGUCUUGCCAUGCAGUGCAGGCUGGCCUUGAGUUCAUUAUGUAGCCCAGGUUGGCCUUGAAUGCAUGGCGAUCCUCCUGCCUCAGCCUCCCAAGUGCUGGGAUUACACAGCACUCCGGUUUUCAGUUUCUUGUGCUGCAGUUCGAUGAGGAAUGCUUUGCAACUUCCAAGAGGCAAUGAUUCAGAUCCUGCUUCUCACUGCAGAAGAUGCUGCCUGGGGAGAAAGGAGUGCUGAGCGCCCAGCCGCCCUUCACGCAUGUCCUCCUGGCCCCACCGCAGCCCAGCAGUGACUGUCAUUCAGCACCUGCAUCCCAAUUUCUGGGUGCGAAAGCCCAGGUUUGGGAAGGUGGAAGCAUUUUGGGGAGGACAUAGAUUCAGUAAGUGUCCAACUUCUGGAUCCUCCCCUCUCACCCCCACACCGUGUCUCCUAAAAAGUUUACAUCCUGAACACCUGGGACGUUUGCUUUCUGAGCCCCUAAUGAAGGACUUAUCAUGCCCCCCUUUUUGUUUGGGGUGCCAGGAAGCUCAAAGUAAACUUACCCAGGAUCUGUCUUCAUCCCUCAAGUUCCUGACAGGAUUGCCUCUGCCUACCCCCCUCUGGUUUCUGAUCUCAUGCUCUAUUUUUAGCUGUUGUUGAGUGUGUUGUGGAGGAAGCUGCCUCAAGUUCCCUUUGAACUGUAAAUAAACCGAAGCCGUUCUGGUGGUGGAUUCACAGCA
rnacentral:lncRNA from 1 species